rnacentral:rRNA from 1 species
CCUAAUAAAAGGAGUUUACACACCGAAAUGCGUCAUCCUCCACGCGGCGUUGCUGCAUCAGAGUUUCCUCCAUUGUGCAAUAUUCCUCACUGCUGCCUCCCGUAGG